rnacentral:rRNA from 1 species
UACGAAGGGGGCUAGCGUUGCUCGGAAUUACUGGGCGUAAAGGGCGCGUAGGCGGAUACUUAAGUUAGAGGUGAAAGCCCAGGGGCUCAACCCUGGAACAGCCUUUAAUACUGGGUAUCUUGAGUUCGGGAGAGGUGAGUGGAACUCCGGAGUGUAGAGGUGAAAUUCGUAGAUAUUCGGAAGAACACCAGUGGCGAAGGCGACUCACUGGCCCGAUACGUGACGCUGAGGCGCGAAAGCG